rnacentral:rRNA from 1 species
AGCGAACGCUGGCGGCAGGCCUAACACAUGCAAGUCGAACGGAUCCUUCGGGAUUAGUGGCGGACGGGUGAGUAACACGUGGGAACGUGCCCUUUGGUUCGGAACAACUCAGGGAAACGUGAGCUAAUACCGGAUGUGCCCUUCGGGGGAAAGAUUUAUCGCCAUUGGAGCGGCCCGCGUCUGAUUAGCUAGUUGGUGGGGUAACGGCCCACCAAGGCGACGAUCAGUAGCUGGUCUGAGAGGAUGAUCAGCCACACUGGGACUGAGACACGGCCCAGACUCCUACGGGAGGCAGCAGUGGGGAAUAUUGCGCAAUGGGCGAAAGCCUGAUCCAGCAAUGCCGCGUGAAUGAUGAAGGUCUUAGGAUUGUAAAAUUCUUUCAGCGGGGAUGAUAAUGACGGUACCCGCAGAAGAAGCUCCGGCUAACUUCGUG